AUGCUCUGGAUCCGCCAGAGACCCCGAAAGGCGCUGGAAUGGCUCGUGGGGAUCACCAGUGGUGGCACCACCGCCUACGCGCUGCCUGUCAAGGGCCGGCGGGCGGCCGUGACCCUGCUGGAGUGCGGGGGGGACCUCCAGCCCCCCGGGGGGUCCCUGCGCAUCCUCUGCCGAGGGUCUGGGUUCAGUUUUGGGAGCUACGACAUGUACUGGAUCCGCCAGAGACCCGGGCAGGGGAUGGAAUGGGUUGCGAGCAUCUACUACAAUGGUGCCAACACCUACUACGCGGAUUCGGUCAAGGGCCGGUUCACGAUCUCCAGGGACAAUGGGCAGAGCUCGAUGACGCUGACCAUGAACAACCUCAAGGACGAGGAUUCUGCCGUUUAUUUCUGCGCCAAACGUAGCAGUAAUGGUUAUUGUUCUGCUGGUCCUGCUCUCCCAACACCACCAAACACGGAGCCGAAACCCGCGAACUAG